rnacentral:rRNA from 1 species
UGGCCUAACACAUGCAAGUCGAGCGAGGUAGCGAUACCUAGCGGAGGACGGGUGAGUAACGCGUGGGAACGUACCCUUUGGUUCGGAAUAGCCCUGGGAAACUGGGAGUAAUACCGGAUACGGUCGAGAGAUGAAAGAUUUAUCGCCGAAGGAUCGGCCCGCGUUGGAUUAGGUAGUUGGUGGGGUAAUGGCCUACCAAGCCGACGAUCCAUAGCUGGUUUGAGAGGAUGAUCAGCCACACUGGGAGUGAGACACGGCCCAGACUCCUACGGGAGGCAGCAGUGGGGAAUCUUAGAGAAUGGGCGCAAGCCUGAUCUAGCCAUGCUGCGUAUACAAGAGAGGCCUUAGGGUUGUAAAGCUCUUCAGGGGGGAAGAUAAUGA